rnacentral:rRNA from 1 species
AUGGCAGGGCUCGGCACCGGGGCGGGAGCUCCUGUUGUGAAGGUGUACCAUGAGAAGUCCAUGAUCCUACCCGAUGUGUCGAGGGUGCUUGCUUGCCUGUACGAGAAAAACAUCGAGUUUGAAACUGUGAAAGAUUCGUACAAGGACAUACUCAGACUCCAGUCAACGAGGAGUGUUCCAGUUCCAUUCUACGACGGACCCACAUUUCGACAAGAGUCAAGAGCAAUCUGCCGCUAUAUAGCAGAAACCUACGAGCAGCGUGGGUAUCCUUUCCUCCUGGGGAAGGAUGUCCUUGAGAGGGCUUCCAUUGAACAAUGGCUCCGGCAUGAGGAGCAUGCCUUCGAUCCUCCGAGCCGGGCAUUGUUCUGCCACCUGGCCUUCCCUUUCCCUGACGAAGACAUGAGUGACAUCGACAGGGAGAAGAGGAAGCUGGAAGAAGUCCUGGAGGUUUAUGAGCAAAGGCUUGGCGAGAGCGAGUUCCUUGCUGGGAACAAGUUCACUCUUGCUGACCUUGUUCACCUACCAAACACCCAUCACAUAGUGACAUCCGACGAGUUCGCCUACCUGUAUGACUCGAGGAAGAACGUGCAGAGGUGGUGGAAUACAAUCUCUGCACGGGACUCUUGGCAGCAGGUGGUGAGGGAUAUGCAGGACGUGGAGGAGCAGUACCAAAUGGAAGAACUGGAGCAGCAGCAGCAGCAGCAGCAGCAGCAGCAGCAGCUGGAGCAGCAGUGGCAGUGGCAGCCAGAAGGCCCAGAACCACCGGCAACAUAUAGCGGCCGCACCAUCCGCAUAGACCCUCGAAAGCAGACAGGCACAGAGUCAAGGACAAUACUGGUUCCGCCACCCAGCGGCGGUACUAUAUCAUCCUCGUCUUUCACAGUUCAACCUCUCCCCGCAGAAACAACCUCUCAUGGUCAAAAUUCACCUGGCCAAAUAAAAGAAAGUAACUUCUUUACUACCACCGAGAAAACACCAGCACCCUCAAAGCAAAGAAGUCCCACCACUCAGAAACCACCUAGCAGUGUUCAAAGCACCACGAGUAACUUCUUUACCCCAGCAGCCCCUCCUAGCACCACCAAAAUGUCUCAGAGAACUGAUACCGACAAAUCCACCUCCAAAGAUGCCUCAUCUCCAACCAGACCCGGUCAAGGAUCAUCCAAAAAAGCUCCUGAUAAGCUCCAUCUCUCUGAUGAUGAGGCGGCAACCCUUAGCAAACCUACGCUUUCACAAGAAGCCCCCAAACCCACCAACAAAACUCCAUAUGCACAACAGCCCUCUGAGCAAGUGAAGAAGGCCGCAGCUGAUAAAAAAGAUGCUGCUCAUUUGCCAAAGCAGGUGGCAUUCAGAGACAUUCAAAAUGAAACAAGCCGUGGUGCCAAAGACAGCACUAAAGAAGGUAGAGAGGCUGAUCAAAAGAGGGCUGCAACAGCACCAACCAGGGGACUACCUCCAGGUUCUCAAAAUACCCCUCAAGCACCAUCAGCUGAUCUGAGAGUAUCUGACUCGGCACCAAUGAAAGAGGGUGUCAUUAGUGAAGAUGACCAGUUCUCAACUAAGAGGCUCAGAAAAAUGCUUGAGCAAAGUGAUCCAGCAGUACUCAAACCACAGUCAACAGAUAUGCAACCCCCUCCAGUACAGGCAGCUGGCGCAAGAGAUCCUCAAACUCCAAUCACAGCUGAUGAAAGGAGAGCAACUUCACCACCGAAAGGAGGAAUGGCUGCAGAUGAUCGUGGUGCCACUGAGCCACGAAAAUCACCAUCCACCAAUGAGCAACAACCAUCCCCACGGAUGCCAAGCCAAUCACCAGCUGGUGAAAGUGCAGCACCUGCACCACUGCAAGCACCAGCAUCUGAUGGGAAUAAGCCGAUAUCUUCUAAGGAUAGUAGCAAGCAAACAAAUGAAACAUUAUAUUAUCGCAGCUCAGAAACAUCCAGAGAAAUGCCAUCAUCAGCCACUGAGAAGAGCAUGAGACAACAGCAGCUGCAAAGUGACAGGUCCAUUAUAUCGCCGCAAGACAUUGGGAAGCAAGGUUCUGAAGCUGCACCACCGGUGUCUGGAACCGAGAAACUUGGGAGAACUCCAGGACAAGAUUUACUAGAGUCUCAGGAACAAGCCUCCCCUGAUACUCAGCAAGUGAAAAACAACAGAAAUAACAGCAAAUCGGAUGGCUCAAGCAAACCCACCCAGUUUGACGGUAAUAAAGGUGAUGUCCCCGAGUCACAGACGGGUGGCCCGUCAACCAACCUAUAA